rnacentral:rRNA from 1 species
GACGAACGCUGGCGGCGUGCUUAACACAUGCAAUUCGAACGGAAAGGCCCUGCUUUUGUGGGGUGCUCGAGUGGCGAACGGGUGAGUAACACGUGAGUAACCUGCCCUUGACUUUGGGAUAACUUCAGGAAACUGGGGCUAAUACCGGAUAGGAGCUCCUGCUGCAUGGUGGGGGUUGGAAAGUUUCGGCGGUUGGGGAUGGACUCGCGGCUUAUCAGCUGGUUGGUGGGGUAGUGGCUUACCAAGGCUUUGACGGGUAGCCGGCCUGAGAGGGUGACCGGCCACAUUGGGACUGAGAUACGGCCCAGACUCCUACGGGAGGCAGCAGUGGGGAAUAGUGCAAAAUGGGCGGAAGCCUGAUGCAGCAACGCCGCGUGCGGGAUGACGGCCUUCGGGUUGUAAACCGCUUUCGCCUGUGACGAAGCGUGAGUGACGGUAAUGGGUAAAGAAGCACCGGCUAACUACGUG